rnacentral:rRNA from 1 species
CCUGGUAGCAAUGGCGGAGGGGCCACACCCGUUCCCAUCCCGAAUACGGAAGUUAAGCCCUCCAGCGCCGAUGGUACUGGGGCACAAGCCCCGGGAGAGUAGGUCGCUGCCAGGA